GACGAACCGUGCAAACGUUGUUCGGAUUCACUGGGCUUAAAGGGCGCGUAGGCGGGCGGUCAAGUCAGGGGUGAAAUCUUUCGGCUCAACCGGAAAAGUGCCUCUGAUACUGAUCGUCUUGAGGGAGGUAGGGGCAUGUGGAACUUCCGGUGGAGCGGUGAAAUGCGUAGAUAUUCGGAAGAACACCAGUGGCGAAGGCGGCUCACUGGCCCGGUACUGACGCUGAGGUGCGAAAGCGUGGGGAGCAAACAGG
rnacentral:rRNA from 1 species